GUGAAAUAUACGCGUAAGAGAAGAUUUUCUCUCGAAAAAACGAACUGUCAACAAUCGGCAUGGAACUGGGAUAUUCGUAUCAAAGGGCUCUGAAUGCAGGAAAAUGACUGAAUAUUACUUAGUCAACAACACUGGGUUAUGAAGAAUUCCAGCCUGCAUUAAAUACUAUGUUGGAUCCUUGAGAGCGGAUUUAACAGCCAUGUCCAUCCACAAGGCAGUCGCAUCUGAUCGAGAUGAUCACUAAACAUUCUUGAUGGGUAAAGUACCUGAAGGUGCAUGAAAACCAAAUCAGCAUUGACUCAGCAUUGAGUUAUCAUCUGUGCACACACUACAAGUACAAAGCAUGGGAACAGACCAAACUUCAAAUG